rnacentral:rRNA from 1 species
GACGGGGCCGCACAAGCGGUGGAGCAUGUGGUUUAAUUCGACGCAACGCGAAGAACCUUACCAGGGCUUGACAUCCCCUGACCGCGUAUGAAAGUACGUUUUCACCCUCGGGUGACAGGGAGACAGGUGGUGCAUGGUUGUCGUCAGCUCGUGUCGUGAGAUGUUGGGUUAAGUCCCGCAACGAGCGCAACCCCUACGUUUAGUUGCUAACGCGUGAAGGCGAGCACUCUAGACGAACUGCCGUUGACAAAACGGAGGAAGUGGGAUGACGUCAAAUCAUCAUGCCCCUUAUGUUCUGGGCUACACACGUGCUACAAUGGCCGGUACAGACGGACGCAAAGCCGCGAGGUGGAGCAAAUCCUAAAAAGCCGGUCUCAGUUCGGAUUGCAGGCUGCAAUUCGCCUGCAUGAAGUCGGAAUCGCUAGUAAUCGCAGGUCAGCAUACUGCGGUGAAUACGUUCCCGGGCCUU